GACGAACGCUGGCGGCGUGCUUAACACAUGCAAGUCGAACGCUGAAGCCCUUCGGGGUGGAUGAGUGGCGAACGGGUGAGUAACACGUGGGUAAUCUGCCCUGCACUCUGGGAUAAGCCUUGGAAACGGUGUCUAAUACCGGGUAGGACACAUCGUCGCAGGGUGUGGGGGUGGAAAGGUCCGGCGGUGCAGGUUGAGCCCGCGGCCUAUCAGCGUGUUGGUGGGGUGAUGGCCUACCAAGGCGACGACGGGUAGCCGGCCUGAGAGGGUGACCGGCCACAUUGGGACUGAGGCACGGCCCAGACUCCUACGGGAGGCAGCAGUGGGGAAUCUUGCGCAAUGGGCGAAAGCCUGACGCAGCAACGCCGCGUGGGGGAUGACGGCCUUCGGGUUGUAAACCUCUUUCGACCGGGACGAAGGAUUCGUUUGACGGUACCGGUAGAAGAAGCACCGGCUAACUACGUGCCAGCAGCCGCCGUAA
rnacentral:rRNA from 1 species